UAUUUAUAGUUUUUAUUUAUGAGCAAAAUAUAUAUCAAAUUUAUAAAUUGUGGGCUCUAUAUAAAAAUACAAAAUAAAGCUAAAUAUACCCGCUGAGUUUCCCUCUUGUGGAAAGCUAUCUUUGGCUCCUAGGAUGUGUGGGUAUGCUGGUCAGGAUUGCAGAGGAAGUGUAUUCAGCCCUACGUUUUUCCAAUACAGGUGUUUCCUCCAUGUGGACGUUUAGUCUGACUAGUAAGAAAAAAAAUUCUUUCAAACUCUCUCCGUUUGACAUGAACUCUCACCGACUCCAUCAAGCGAUAUUUGACUGGGUUCCAUUGGUGUUUGCCAUUAAGUCAGGGAAGAGCCAGGAGGAUUACUACCAGGUGCUGCGGUUCAUUGACCAUCAACUCCCAGAAAGCAUUGCUUUGGAGGGAUUUGUUGCAGAUUUUGAAGUAGCACUGUGGAAGGCCUUCAAGGACAGGUUCCCUGGAACACCCAUCCACUGGACACGGGCGGUGUUAAGGAAAGUCCAGGGAAACGGACUUCAGGACUCAGUCUACAAGUUCGUGCGCCAACUCCUGGCCCUGCCAUUCCUCCCACCUGAGCACAUUGAGGAGACAUUCCUACUUCUGGAUGGUCGUGCGCCAGAGGUUCUUGCUCCACUGAUAGACUAUGUGUAUAGGACGUGGAUCCGUUCUUCAGUCUUCAAGAUCACUGGAGUGUGUUCAUGGCGUCCAUCAGGACGAACGAUGAUGUGGAGGGAUGGCACAACCGCCUUAACACCAGUGUUGCCACCAGGGGAUCGGUUCCCUUCAACCACCUUCUUCUUGUUCUGCACAGGGAAGCAACCAGCAUGGUGUCUGAAGGGAAGAUGCAGAGAUUCCAAAGGAAGAGGACAUUACAGGUGGAAGGUCGUGUCUUCAACCUGUGGAACAACUACUGUGAAAGAUCGAUCACUGCGAGUGAACUGUUAAAGGGCUGUGCUUCCAUUUAUGGACCUCCAGCUUUGAUUAUGUGAUUCGUUGAUAUCGUGACAGCUGUGCCCCCGUGCAUCUUGUAAUGUAAAAAUGUCUUUUACUUAUACAGUUUGUUUGUUAUUGUCACUGCAUUUAAAAUAUCUUGAUUUGUUUUACUGAGUUUUUAAAAUCACAAAUUGCCUUUACUGUUUUUGUUGUUCGUUCUGCCUAUGUUUAAAAUUCAUAAUAAAUAAAAAGAUGGAUGUAGCUAAGAAUAUAAUAAUCGUUGUUCUUCAAAGGAUUUUAAUGAAUUAAAUUAGACAAAAUUGCAAAAUGAGUUAAUUGAAUACAACUACAAGCAAUAUAGUUCACACAGUAUCAAUAAUUUCAGUGGCAGGUGAAAAAGUUGCUUUUUAAUGGUAAAACAAAUGUAGUAAACAUACUACAAUGCAAGAAAUUAAGGACAUGAUAAGAAAAUGAUUUAAAAACCACAAAAUAAUCAUUUCUGAUACUCAAUCCGUCUCCUUUAAUUAUUUCUGCCUAUAGUAAUUAUGGUUAAUAUUUUU
rnacentral:sRNA from 1 species